rnacentral:lncRNA from 1 species
AGAGUAAGUACAUACUGAAUACUACAGCAAUCAAAUCUAUAGAGUCUGCUAGGCGGGGAGAGUAAGUACACACUGAAUACUACAGCAAUCAAAUCUAUAGAGUCUGCUAGGCGGGGAGAGUAAGUACACACUGAAUACAACAGCAAUCAAAUCUCUAGAGUUUGCUAGGCGGGGAGAGUAAGUACACACUGAAUACUACAGCAAUCAAAUCUAUAGAGUCUGCUAGGCGGGGAGAGUAAGUACACACUGAAUACAACAGCAAUCAAAUCUCUAGAGUUUGCUAGGCGGGGAGAGUAAGUACACACUGAAUACUACAGCAAUCAAAUCUAUAGAGUCUGCUAGGCGGGGAGAGUAAGUACACACUGAAUACUACAGCAAUCAAAUCUAUAGAGUCUGCUAGGCGGGGAGAGUAAGUACACACUGAAUACAACAGCAAUCAAAUCUAUAGAGUCUGCUAGGCGGGGAGAGUAAGUACACACUGAAUACUACAGCAAUCAAGUCUCUAGAGUCUGCUAGGCGGGGAGAGUAAGUACACACUGAAUACUAAAGCAAUCAAGUCUCUAAGUUUGCUAGGCGGGGAGAGUAAGUACACUCUGAAUACUAAAGCAAUCAAAUCUGUAGAGUUUGCUAGGAGGGGAGAGUAAGUACACACUGAAUACUACAGCAAUCAAAUCUCUAGAGUUUGCUAGGCGGGGAGAGUAAGUACACACUGAAUACUACAGCAAUCAAGUCUCUAGAGUUUGCUAGGCGGGGAGAGUAAGUACACACUGAAUACUACAGCAAUCAAAUCUAUAGAGUCUGCUGGGUGGGGGGAGUAAGAACAGACUGAAUAUUACAGCAAUCAAAUCUAUAGAGUUUGCUAGGCGGGGAGAGUAAGUACACACUGAAUACUACAGCAAUCAAGUCUCUAGAGUUUGCUAGGCGGGGAGAGUAAGUACACACUGAAUACUACAGCAAUCAAAUCUCUAGAGUCUGCUAGGCGGGGAGAGUAAGUACACACUGAAUACUACAGCAAUCAAAUCUCUAGAGUCUGCUAGGCGGGGAGAGUAAGUACACACUGAAUACUACAGCAAUCAAAUCUCUAGAGUCUGCUAGGCGGGGAGGAGUAAGUACACACUGAAUACUACAGCAAUCAAAUCUCUAGAGUCUGCUAGGCGGGGAGAGUAAGUACACACUGAAUACUACAGCAAUCAAAUCUCUAGAGUCUGCUAGGCGGGGAGAGUAAGUACACACUGAAUACUACAGCAAUCAAAUCUCUAGAGUCUGCUAGGCGGGGAGAGUAAGUACACACUGAAUACUACAGCAAUCAAAUCUCUAGAGUCUGCUAGGCGGGGAGA